rnacentral:lncRNA from 1 species
AACCUUCCUUUUGUGUUCAUAAACCUUGUGUUUAAAUUUCAUUGAUUUCUAUUUACUUAUACUAAAGUUAUUGUGCGAAAACCAAGAAUAAUGCUUAUUUAGGCCCUUUUUGGGCCCCUAAUUCCUAAACAGUUGGAAACAAAACUCCCAAAAUCAAUCCCAACCUUCUUCUUGUGGUCAUAAACCUUGUGUCAAAAUUUCAUAGAUUUCUAUUUACUUAAAGUUAUAGUGCGAAAACCAAGAAAAUGCUUAUUUGGGCCCUUUUUGGCCCCUAAUUCCUAAACUGUUGGGACCAAAACUUCCAAAAUCAAUCCCAACCUUCCUUUUGUGGUCAUACACCUUGUGUUUAAAUUUCAUAGAUUUCUAUUCACUUAAACUAAAGUUAUAGUGCGAAAACCAAAAGUAUUCGGACGACGACGACGACGACGCUGACGCCAACGUGAUACCAAUAUACGACCAAAAAAUUUUCAAUUUUUGCGGUCGUAUAACAAA